rnacentral:misc_RNA from 1 species
AAGUCGUAACAAGGUUUCCGUAGGUGAACCUGCGGAAGGAUCAUUAACACGUAUCCACGUAUCAACCCCAUGUGCUCUUUCGGUCUCGUACCCUGCCAGUGCAGAGAAAGUUGGACAGAAUUGGUCGAAUGGUGAGAGGGCAGAGAGUCAAAUCUCUGACCUCGUGGCUAGUUCUGUCUGUGUGCUUUCUCGCCUUUAUUGCUGGUCAGGCUUGUGUUCUUUUCACCAUUGGAAUCAAACCUUUUUUAACAUUUAAGCCCCUAGUACCAUUUGUUACUGAAUCAAUGUUUGAAGAAACCCUUCCCUCUCAGUCUUUCAUUAGGCUGUCUGGGUUUGGUUGCUUUAAAUAACGAUACGAAACGCUUGACAACUCUUAGCAACGGAUAUCUUGGCUCUC